rnacentral:rRNA from 1 species
UACGGAGGGGGCCAGCGUUGUUCGGAAUCAUUGGGCGUAAAGGGCGCGUAGGCGGCCGAUCAAGUCGGAGGUGAAAUCCCUCGGCUCAACUGAGGAAUUGCCUCCGAUACUGUUCGGCUUGAGUCCUGGAGAGGGUAGUGGAAUUCCGAGUGUAGCGGUGAAAUGCGUAGAGACUCGGAAGAACACCAGUGGCGAAGGCGGCUACCUGGACAGGUACUGACGCUGAAGCGCGAAAGCUAGGGGAGCAAACAGG